AGGUGCGAUCAUACCAGCACUAAUGCACCGGAUCCCAUCAGAACUCCGCAGUUAAGCGUGCUUGGGCUAGAGUAGUACUAGGAUGGGUGACCUCCUGGGAAGUCCUCGUGUUGCACCUC
rfam:Lupinus angustifolius cultivar Tanjil contig_24533, whole genome shotgun sequence.